ACAACCUCAAUUCCUUUUCAUCGCGCAAAUUGUGUGAGGGAAAGGGGUUGGAUUUGAGCAUAUCCACCAAGUCUACAUAUUAUUGUGGGCUUCGAGGAUGCUUGAAAUAAGAGGUUCGGCCGGCAGUGCCUGGGCUACAAGCAUUUCAUACUUAAUCCCGUUAAACGGAUUAUAUCCUUUGCUGCAGCCAACAUACAGGGUAACUGUCCAGUGUCCGACUGAUGCAGGAAAGUUGAGACUCGCUCUCUUCUAA
rnacentral:misc_RNA from 1 species